rnacentral:rRNA from 1 species
UACGUAGGGGGCUAGCGUUGUCCGGAAUCAUUGGGCGUAAAGGGCGCGUAGGCGGCCCGAUAAGUCUGCUGUGAAAGUCCAGGGCUCAACCCUGGAAUGCCAGUGGAUACUGUCGGGCUAGAGUACGGAAGAGGCGAGUGGAAUUCCUGGUGUAGCGGUGGAAUGCGCAGAUAUCAGGAGGAACACCAAUAGCGAAGGCAGCUCGCUGGGACGUUACUGACGCUGAGGAGCGAAAGCGUGGGGAGCGAACAGG